ACACUCACCCGGACGAUCACACUAUACAAACUAAGUAUAUUAUUUUAUCAGCUACAAGAUGUAAACUGAUUAUAAUGUAAAGGUACAAGAUUACACAAGAUAUACAGUUGAAAGAUAAUAAAGCAGGUCUAAAAAGUAGUAAAUAAACUGUUUUUAAAUUUUGUAGUUUUCCUUAAUCUGCAGUUAAGAGGGUUGAUCCAAGUGGAAUCGAUUAAUGUUGGAGUUGUUCAUCAGGAGAAGAUAACAGGCAUUACUGUUGGACUGCUCUGGGAUGCUCCUGUGUUCAUCACUCAUGGUGAAGGUGAUGCAGCUAUUGCUGUGUGGGCCAAGCAAGAGCAGGGGGAAAUUACUCUCACCGAUGCAAUCAGUUCAUACAUCUCAGGAGGGUCUGGUGUUGUUAAAGCAGAGAUGUCAAGUCAUGGUCACUUUCUUGUUAUUCUGGAUGACAAGGUAGGGUGCCUGUUAUACCCUGUAAUCAGUGUAAUGUAUGAUUUAAGGAAAGCUGUUAUGUUAAAUGCAAGGGGCAUAUGGUUUGUAUUGUUUCUGACAUAGUGUGACAACAACUGAGCAGAGUCUAUUACAGGGAACAAUCAUCUCUGUACAGUAUAUAAGGUAAAAUUACCUUAAGGAAAUUUAUGGUGUUACUUUUGCUAACAAGCUGCUAGAAUUUGUCAUGUUUCUGUCAAAACAGCUGAGUUGUGUUUUUUCAAGUCAUCAAAAAACUUUGGAAGUGUCUGAAAAAGAACAUUUGAUUUAGAACACCAUGCUGCUUAAAAACUUGCA